GAUGAACGCUGGCGGCGUGCCUAAUACAUGCAAGUCGAGCGAACAAACGAGGAGCUUGCUCCUCUGACGUUAGCGGCGGACGGGUGAGUAACACGUGGAUAACCUACCUAUAAGACUGGGAUAACUUCGGGAAACCGGAGCUAAUACCGGAUAAUAUAUUGAACCGCAUGGUUCAAUAGUGAAAGACGGUUUUGCUGUCACUUAUAGAUGGAUCCGCGCCGCAUUAGCUAGUUGGUAAGGUAACGGCUUACCAAGGCAACGAUGCGUAGCCGACCUGAGAGGGUGAUAGGCCACCCUGGAACGGAGACACGGUCCAGACUCCUACGGGAGGCAGCAGUAGGGAAUCUUCCGCAAUGGGCGAAAGCCUGACGGAGCAACGCCGCGUGAGUGAUGAAGGUCUUCGGAUCGUAAAACUCUGUUAUUAGGGAAGAACAAAUGUGUAAGUAACUAUGCACGUCUUGACGGUACCUAAUCAGAAAGCCACGGCUAACUACGUG
rnacentral:rRNA from 1 species